ACGGUCUUCAAAACGGGAGAAAUUGAUGUUCUAAGAUUUUGCCCGCGAACAUCAAAAUAUAUGUGUUGUAAAGGUUUUCACUUGAUGUCAGAGGUCACACACCAAGGUCAAAGGUCUUUCUUUAACGAUAAUCGUGAAAGCAGGCGAGACACGCAGUUCGAGAACCGACUUGUCAUUGUUGGUGAUCAGUUAGACAUUGCCUCGGGCAAUACUUUGGAUUCCCAGGUACAAAGCAGUUUGACCUUUACUUCUGGUCACACCGGAAGUGCAGUGAAAAUUGAAUAUAACUUGAAAAUGGAAGCAAUAUUUAAUACAGACAGACAAAUUAUGGAAGUGCUGCUAAGUGAGGAACGUCAAUCACAAAAAACAGCAUGAUGAUGUCAACACUCAAAAGGACGCCCUCUAGCGACACAACAAACAGUGUUAAACUUUUUUAAUUUAAAAAGCAUUUCUCACAAUUUUACCAAAUUUCCCCUGGAUAUUCUUUAAACAACCACAAAUGACUUAACAAGGUUUCAGAAUCAUGACGUCUUUAGAUCGGAGUGACUGUAAUUUGAAAAUGAAAUGAUUAUUUUUUUAAAAUUCAAAUCCAUCAUUCGACCCAUGUUUAAUGACUAUGUUCGUAGCACCAUUAAUGAUGUCCCGUACAACGUUGACCUUGCGCUUCCAAAUGCCGUGAUGUCAUCAAACUUGAAGUUAGGUGUCAUUAAUACAUUCAUUUAAACAUUCAUUAUAAUUUUCAUAUUUUUAGAAGUUUUUUCACUUCAUGGUGAACAUGUAUCCUCUCUGAACUAAAUCAGCAUUCAGUUUGCACAUUUUUACUGAUGACGUUAUGAAACCAGAAAUAACGUGUACAUGUACAUAAAGUGUAUAUUGAAAUCUAUCAUACUCCAACGAUAAAAGAUCAUACGAUAAAAGAUGCCCCUUUUUUUCCAAGUGAAACAAAUCGUUUUACUGGAAGGCUGAAUUUCGUGGUCCCUUUUCUGUUGUGACAUAAAACUAUUCACAACUGGGUUAUGUCCUAUGAAAUAGUUUUCAGCCCAAUCACCCAGCGUUUGUAACUCAACAAAGUUUUUCUGUACAUCUCUGUCAAUUUGAAAAGAAUGGGCUAUCGUCCCGCAACAUGCAUUCCAGAGUCCGUCGCUUCAUUGUUCAGAUGGUCAAUAGAGAGCUGACAGCAGCCCAAGCCUUAAAAACCGUAAAGGAUCUCCGCAGCACCGUUGAUGAACAUGAAUAACCACCGACUGUGCAUAACCACCGACGCUGAAACCAGAAGAGAUGAAAAAAUGUGAAUCUCAAUUGACGGAAGAAUGGAACUGCCCAGAGCACCAGCACAGCUGUCUCUAGUAGGUUUUAAUCUCGCAAUAGGGUGCAGUUUUUAUGGAGCCACUAAGCAGGAAAUGUUGGCUUAGGCCAAAAAAAAAA